ACUGAACAUUCUCAUUUACAUCAACAACCUGGAGAAUAGUUACAGGGGAGAUGAUUAGGUGGCCAUGAUGGAAUGAGGACCGGAUUGGGAAUUUAGCCAGGACACAGGAAUAACACCCUUACUCUUCCAAUAAGUGCCAUGGGACCUUUAGUGACUACAGAGAGUCGGGACACCCGUUUUAACAUCCCAUCUGAAAGACGCCACCCUACACAGGGAAAUGUUCCCAAACACUGCCCUGGGGCAUUGGGAUAUUGUUUUAGACCAGAGGAAAGAGUGCCUUCCAUAGGGCAGCGCACAAUUGGGCCAGAUUAGAUUAGGGUUUGGCCAGGGUAUUUUAAUUUGUUCUUAACUGACUUGCCUAGUUAAAUAAAGGUUCAAUAAAAUGUACAUAAAUACUGGCCCUCCAAAACCACUUCCAGCAGCAUCUGGUCACCCAUCCAGGGACCGACCCUGCUUAGCUUCAGAGACAAGCCAGCAGUGGGAUGCAGGGUGGUAUGAAUCCUCUGUGUAAAGGUGAGUCUCUCACGAACAUGUCGGUUGUUUUGCUCUAGGACGCCCACAAGCAUCACAAGACUCGACUGAAGGUAGCACGGUACCUGUUUUAAAAAAGAAUGAGUAGAAGUAUAUAACCGGUACAACCAGGCCAAGCUGAGUAUGCAUGACCAGGCUCUGAAGGUGUCAGCAGUGGUAGAAAGUCUGGAGAGGGAGAUGGAGCUUCUGUGUUUGAUUGGGGUUGAGGUCGACAUCAGGCCAAGCCUGGAGCUCCUCAGCAAUGCUGGAAUCAAACUGUGAAUAUAUGGAUGCUUACUGGGGAUAAGCUGGAGACAGCUACUUGUAUCGCUAAAAGCUCCCAUUUGGUGUCCAGAAGUGAAGAUUGGUCUCCAACGGUGGAGAGGCCCAUCUGGAGCUCAAUGCCUUCAGAAGGAAACACGACUGUGCUCUGGUCGUCUCUGGAGACUCCUUGGCGGUACUACAACACAACACACUUCUCACAAGCCUCUCAAGAUGGUACUGUAGAUGUAGCCAAAAAUAUUCUGGUGUCAAAACUAAAACCUUUUGAGUCCAAAACUGCAAGAAGAGCAACAAAGCACAUCAGUUAUGAUUUUAUAAGCAAAACAAACUACAUUUUAUCACUGUUGAUCUGAAGAGAUGGUACAGUAAGUAAUAUGUGAGUGUGCUUGUGGGUUCAGAUGUGUUUGCAUUUUCCAAAUCCAUAUGUUUAUCUUCCCACAUAGUCUGCGGGACUAUGAGCAUGAGUUUGUGGAACUGGCGUGUCAGUGUCCAGCGGUAGUCUGCUGUCGCUGCUCCCCCACUCAGAAAGCCCAGAUCGUCCACCUGCUCAAGCACCACACAGCCAACCGAACCUGUUCCACCUAUGGCACAGGUUUUGUAACAACUAACCACUCUCAUCCUUUGAGACACAGAACUGCUACAAUGAUCUGUGUACAAUGAAUGCCAAAUUAUAAAGUAGAUUGUAGAAAAUGCCUACCAGUAAUAUACCUGUAUCUCACUAUUGACUACUUUGUUUUGAAAAUGAAGAAACUAGACCCAGUAUGAGAAGGUACACCCCUAUUAUGUCCACAAUUAAAGAGCAUAAGCAUCUCUGUUAACAUUGUUUUGUCCUGGGGCAUAAGCCUUAUCUCCAUAUUGCUCUUUUACAUGCUAUUAUUGAACCUGUGGCUGACAUGUGGCUCUCUUGUCUCUCACAUGUGAUGAAGGUAAUGAUGUCAAUAUGAUCCAGGCAGCAGACUGUGGUAUUGGUAUUGAAGGAAAGGUUAAUAAUCCAUAUUACGCCUCUUACCUUAUCCAUUUAUUAUUACAUGAAAUAGUAAAAACAUGAUUUUUUAAACAAAAAUGCAAAACCUGUUACGGGCCCCA
ensembl:lncRNA